GGGAGUUUCUAAGAACUCCACACUUCGUCCUGGAGUGUACUAUCUCAGAGAUCUCGGUGUACAGAAAGUGUCGAUAUACAAUUUAUUUAGUUUACAUAUUUUAUUAAUGACUACAUUCACAUGAGCCUGAAUCAUCUAGAAGGCAUUGCAAUUUUUUAUUGGGGACCAUACGAAUAUUCCAUACUCUGGAUGAACAGGACAAUUUUUGCAGGAAAAACAAAUUUAAAAUUUCUGAAAUUUAAUGGUAUAGAUAUUAAAAACCUCACUGCAAGAGUAUUCAACAAUUUGAAAAACUUACAGACAUUAAAUUUUACCAGGACCAAUGUAGAGGAUCUCUCUUUCCUAAGAUCUGACACUCUUCAAAAGAGCUUGCUGAAUGUUGUUCUGGAAGUCAAUCAAAAGGUGGAUAUUCUAAUCCUUCCAUUAU